rnacentral:rRNA from 1 species
GACGAACGCUGGCGGCGUGCUUAACACAUGCAAGUCGAACGGAAAGGCCCUGCUUUUGUGGGGUGCUCGAGUGGCGAACGGGUGAGUAACACGUGAGUAACCUGCCCUUGACUUUGGGAUAACUUCAGGAAACUGGGGCUAAUACCGGAUAGGAGCUCCUGCUGCAUGGUGGGGGUUGGAAAGUUUCGGCGGUUGGGGAUGGACUCGCGGCUUAUCAGCUUGUUGGUGGGGUAGUGGCUUACCAAGGCUUUGACGGGUAGCCGGCCUGAGAGGGUGACCGGCCACAUUGGGACUGAGAUACGGCACAGAGUCCUACGGGAGGCAGCAGUGGGGAAUAUUGCACAAUGGGCGGAAGCCUGAUGAAGCAACGCCGCGUGCGGGAUGACGGCCUUCGGGGUGUAAACAGCUUUCGCCUGUGACGAAGCGUGAGUGACGGUAAUGGGUAAAGAAGCACCGGCUAACUACGUG